AUUGAACGCUGGCGGCAUGCCUUACACAUACAAGUCGAACGGCAGCGGACCUUCGGGUGCCGGCGAGUGGCGAACGGGUGAGUAAUAUAUCGGAACGUACCUUUCAGUGGGGGAUAACGUAGCGAAAGUUACGCUAAUACCGCAUAUUCUGUGAGCAGGAAAGCAGGGGAUCGCAAGACCUUGCGCUGAUUGAGCGGCCGAUAUCAGAUUAGCUAGUUGGUGAGGUAAAGGCUCACCAAGGCGACGAUCUGUAGCGGGUCUGAGAGGAUGAUCCGCCACACUGGAACUGAGACACGGUCCAGACUCCUACGGGAGGCAGCAGUGGGGAAUUUUGGACAAUGGGCGCAAGCCUGAUCCAGCCAUGCCGCGUGAGUGAAGAAGGCCUCGG
rnacentral:rRNA from 1 species